rnacentral:lncRNA from 10 species
GUUCUGUGCGCCUCAGAGUUGGAGCACACAGCUGUAUUAAAAAGGCAAAUCGAAGGCCGGGCGCGGUGACUCACGCCUGUCAUCCUAGCACUUUGGGAGGCCGAGGCGGCUGAAUCACUUGAGGUUAGGAGUUUGAGAUCAGCCCGGGCAACAUGGUGAAACCCCGUCUCUACAAAAAUAGAAAAAUUAGCCGAGCGUGAUGGUGGAUGCCUGUAAUCCUAGCUCCUCGGGAGGCUAAGAUAUUUUAUCUCCUUUAUUUGGGACGCUUGUUUCUUCAGCUCAGUUUAACUACUGCUUUGACGUGGACUGGCUCGUAAAACAGUAUCCACCAGAGUUCAGGAAGAAGCCAAUCCUGCUUGUGCAUGGUGAUAAGCGAGAGGCUAAGGCUCACCUCCAUGCCCAGGCCAAGCCUUACGAGAACAUCUCUCUCUGCCAGGCAAAGUUGGAUAUUGCGUUUGGAACACACCACACGAAAAUGAUGCUGCUGCUCUAUGAAGAAGGCCUCCGGGUUGUCAUACACACCU